AAUAAUAUUCAUGAACUGUGAUGCAAGAUAAACAAACAGGGUGUAAGUUGUCAACUUAGGGUUUUGGUGUGAUUCUCCCUCCCUGAUCAACCAUAAUCACCCACCCACCCACCCACAAACCAACAAGAAGAUAAUAACUAUGGGGGAGAUACUCACAUGGCUGCUCUUCUUCUUCAUACUCAUAGCCCUCGUUGUCAUCGUCGUUUAUCAGCUUAUGUGCUUAGCGGAUCUAGAGUUUGAUUACAUUAACCCUUAUGAUUCUGCAUCCCGGAUAAACUUUGUGAUACUACCAGAAUUCAUUACACAUGGCGUUUUAUGCUUGAUAUAUCUUCUGACCUGGCAUUGGGCGAUGUUUCUUCUUGCAUUGCCAUACCUUUACUACAAUGCGCGAUUGUACACUCGGAAACAACACCUCGUGGAUGUGACUGAGAUUUUUAACCAGCUCAAUUGGGAAAAGAAGCAACGGCUUUUCAAACUCGGAUAUCUCAUAUUUCUUCUCUUCAUCACCUUAUUUUGGAUGAUUUAUAAUGCACUGGAAGACGAUGAGAUGUAGGUUUUGAAGUUGAAUUAGAUGCGUUAAACGUUGAAGAAGAUUAACAAUAGGAUUCAUUUGUCAUGUUUUUUGUGGAUAUUUAUUGGGUGUUUUCUUAGAAUGGUUGCACGAGGCGUUUAGGUUCUGAAAGUCAAGGGGCAACACAAGCAGGGGCGAUGCUUUGAAGGGGCCGGGAGGGGCGUCCGACCCCCCGAACUGUUCGGCCAGUAGUGUUAUAUAUGUAGUUUUUGUAUAGAAAUUUUUUGGUAUAUAUGUUUUCGACCCCCCGGUUCUAUAGAAAUUUUUGGGUAUAUACGUUUUCGAAUCCCCCGUAAAAAAUUUCAAGAUUCGCCACUGAACGCAAGAUUU